UACGAAGGUGUCAAGCGUUACCCGGAUUCAUUGGGCGUAAAGCGUCCGCAGAUGGUCAAAAAAGUUCUUGGUUAAAUCUUAAGGCUCAACCUUUAGACUGCUGAGAAAACUUUUUGACUAGAGGAUGGGAGAGGCAAGUGGAAUUACUGGUGUAGUAGUAAAAUGCGUUGAUAUCAGUAAGAACACCAAAAGCAAAGGCAACUUGCUAGAACAUUCCUGACAUUAAGGGACGAAAGCGUGGGGAGCGAAUGGGAUUAGAUACCCCAGUAGUCCACGCCGUAAACGAUGGGUACUAAGCAUUGGUAGUAUCGACCCUAUCAGUGCUGUCUAACUAAGCUAACGCCUUAAGUACCCCGCCUGGGAAGUACGGCCGCAAGGCUAAAACUCAAAGGAAUUGACGGGAGCCCGCACAAGCGGUGGAUCAUGUGGUUUAAUUCGACGGUAAGCGAGGAACCUUACCAGGGCUUGACAUAUAGCUGCAAAUUCUAGGAAACUAGAACUUCUUCGAGAGUGCUAUACAGGUGCUGCAUGGUUGUCGUCAGCUCGUGUCGUGAGAUGUUGGGUUAAGUCCCUUAACGAGCGCAACCCUUAUCCUGUGUUAAAUAUUCACAGGAGACUGCCCCGGUUUAACGGGGAGGAAGGCGAGGAUGACGUCAAAUCAGCAUGGCUCUUACGCCCUGGGCAACACACGUGAUACAAUGGCCGGUACAAUGGGUCGCAAAAUCGCAAGAUGAAGCUAAUCCUAUCAAAGCCGGUCUCAGUUCGGAUUGAGGUCUGCAACUCGACCUCAUGAAGCUGGAAUCGCUAGUAAACGCUGAUCAGCUACGCAGCGUUGAAUACGUUCUCGGGCUU
rnacentral:rRNA from 1 species